rnacentral:misc_RNA from 1 species
GUAGGUGAACCUGCGGAAGGAUCAUUACAAUACACCGUUUCCAAACGUGUGACAAUAGGUUCUUGGUGUGCCCCGGUGGGCCUGGCACGUAGGGGUCUACCGGGGCAAUAGGAGGCCGAACUCGAGCCAUCCGUUACUGUUGCAACAGCACCAUCAACCUUACAGUUGCCAUGCAAUCUCAGGCUGUCAAGUCUUUCCUUCUGGGGGGGGAGGUGUUGUGCCUGCCCCCUUGGGAGGGUUGAUACCCUGC